rnacentral:rRNA from 1 species
AUUGAACGCUGGCGGCAGGCCUAACACAUGCAAGUCGAGCGGUAGAGAGGUGCUUGCACCUCUUGAGAGCGGCGGACGGGUGAGUAAUGCCUAGGAAUCUGCCUGGUAGUGGGGGAUAACGCUCGGAAACGGACGCUAAUACCGCAUACGUCCUACGGGAGAAAGCAGGGGACCUUCCGGCCUUGCGCUAUCAGAUGAGCCUAGGUCGGAUUAGCUAGUUGGUGAGGUAAUGGCUCACCAAGGCGACGAUCCGUAACUGGUCUGAGAGGAUGAUAAGUCACACUGGAACUGAGGCACGGUCCAGACCCCUACGGGAGGCAGCAGUGGGGAAUAUUGGACAAUGGGCGAAAGCCUGAUCCAGCCAUGCCGCGUGUGUGAAGAAGGUCUUCGGAUUGUAAAGCACUUUAAGUUGGGAGGAAGGGUCGUUACCUAAUACGUGACGAUUUUGACGUUACCGACAGAAUAAGCACCGGCUAACUCUGUGCCAGCCGCCGCGGUAACAC